CGGUGCCUGUUCUUCGGCCACCUGAGUCCCAGUAACCAUUGUUUUCUUCCACGCUACACCCCUAGAUAAAGGUUUUCUUUUUGACUGCAUGUUGGGAUCGCUUGGAGACGUUUUGGUUUUUGGUGCCACUCGCUGAGAUCGGGUUUAUUUGGUAUGGGGGUGUGACCCGAGCAUUGGAAUUUUUUAGAGCUCCCCAGGUGAUUCUAGUAUGCAGGAAGGAGUUUGAAACCACCAGUCUCCAUCUGUGCUUCUCACACUUGAUUGGCAUAGGAAUCCUCUGGGGAGCUUGUUAAAAUGCAGAUUCAGAUUAGGUCGGUCUGGGCUGGGACAUGAGGUUCUGUCCUUUCUAAUAAGCUCCCAGGUAGUCUGCGCACAGCUUGGUUGAAAGGCUGCAGGACUCGAGGUUCUCUGAAUUGGAUGACUAAGAACUCUUAACCGGUCCCCCGUCCCCCCCUUCCAUCUUCCAUUCUUCACACCGCAUCCAUGGUGAUUACUCUAAACAAUCUAACGCAGCGGGCAAGAUACCUGAGUGGCUCAGUCCGGUAACCAUUGGACUUGGCUCAGGACUUUUUCCACCCACGAAGAAAUCUUUUAUGGUGCAUCUCCUAUGUGCCAGGCACCGAAAGAAAUAGGUUUCAUUAAUCUACUUCAGGCGUUGACAAACAUUUUCCGUAAAGAGCCAGACAAGUUCUUCCCCUCAGACUCAUAGAGUUCAAGGCAUACUGAAGAUAUACUUCCGGGGGCUUGUAAUGUGUGUUGUCUUCGAGCCGGCAAAGGA